GUGAUUUCGGUGUGUCUGGCAGGUUGUUUCGGAGUGUUAGGCAGGUGGUUACGGCUUGUCUGGCAGGUGUCUGGCGUGUGGUUCUGGUACAUCCAGAACGUGGGUCUGGCGUGUCCUGUGGCUGCUUCCGGCAUGUCCAGCAGUUGGUUCUGGCGUGUGUGGCUGGUGGUUCUGGAGUGUCUGAGUGUUGGUUCCAGUGUGUCCGGGGGGUGGUUCUGGCAUGUCUGUUGGGUUGUUCCAUCGUAUAAGGGGCCUGGUUCUGACGUAUCUGUCAGGUGAUUUCUGCAUGUGUGGCAGGUGGUUCCGGCAAGUCAAGCCUGUGGUUCCAGCGUGUUUGGCAGGUGGUUCAGACCUGUCUGGAAGGUGAUUCCGGCAAGUCCAGCAUCUGGUUCUGGCAUAUCUGACAGGUGGUUCCGGCAUGCCUGGAAUGUGGUUCCAGAGUGUCUGUCAAGUGGUUUAGGCAUAUCCGGCAGGUGGUUCAGUCUUGUCCAGCAGGUGGUUCAGUUUUUCUGGUGGGUGGUUCUGGCAUGUCUGGUCAGUGGUACUGACGUGUCAUUGAGUUGGUUCCAGCAUGUCCGUAGGUGGUUAAGGCAUGUCCAGCACCUGGUUCAGGCAUAUCUGACUGGUGGUUCUGGCAUGCCCGGUAUGUGGUUUCAGAGUAUCCGUCAAGUGGUUCAGGGAUAUCUGGUAGGUGGUACAGUUUUGUCUGGCAGGUGGUUCUGGCAUGUCCAGCCAGUGGUACUCGCUUGUCAUUCAGGUGGUUCCAGCAUGUCAGGGAGGGGGUUACUGUGUGUCUGGCAUGAGUUUCUGGUAUGUCCAGAAUGUGGUUCCGAUGUGUCCAGUGGGUGCUUCCAGGGUGUCCGGCAGUUGGUUCCCACAUGUCCAGCAGGUGAUUCUGGCGUGUCCAGGACCUGAUUCUGUUGUGUUGGGUUGGUGGUUCCGGGAUGUCUGGCAGGUUUUUCUGGCCUGUCUGGAAGUUGGUUCUGGUGAGUCUGGGACCUGGUUCCGGAGUAUCCAACAGGUGAUUUAGGCCUGUCAGGCAGUUAGUUCUGGCAUGUCUGACAGGUGACUCUGUCUUGUCUGGCAGGUGGUUCUGGCAUGUCUGGCACCUGGUUCUGGCAUAUCUGACAGGUCCUUCCGGCAUGUCCGGGACAUGGUCCUGUCAUCUCCGGUGCAUGGUUCCAGAGUGUCUGGGUGGUUUUUCUGACGUUCUGGCAGUUGGUUCCAGUGUGCCAGGCAACCGGUUCAGGCAUUUCUAGUGGAUGGUACCGGUAUGUCUGGCAGCUAGUUCUGUCGUGUCCAACAGGUUGUUCAGGCGUGUCUGUCAGCUGGUCCACAUGCAUCCAGCACAUGUCCAGGCAUGGCCGUCCCAUGGUCCAGACAUUUCUGACCAUGGUUCUGAUGUGUCCAAAGUGUGGUUUGUGCAUGUCCAGCAUCUGAUUCAGGCCUCUCCGGGAGGUGUUUUGGGGGUGUCCAGAAGGUUGUCCAGGUAUGUCUAGUAAGUGUUUCUGGCGUGUCUGGCGUGUCCUUCAAGUAUGUCUGGCCUGUGGUUCUGGCAUGUCCAGAAGGUGGUUCCAGUGUGCCCAACACCUGGCUCUAGCGUGUUCAGCAGGUGCUUCCAGCAUGUCCAAUAAAUGGUUCUGGUGCGUCCUGAAGGUGGUGAUGGCAUGUCGGGAAGGGGGUUCAGGUUUGUUUGGCAGGUGGUUCAGUCAUUUCCAGCACUUGGUUCCAGCAUGUGCGAGAUCUGUUUGUGGAAUAUCCAGCAGGUGGCCCCAGUGUUUCCAGCAGGUGGUUCAUUAUGUCCAGCACCUGGUUUCAGUGUGUGUAACACCUGUUUCUGGCAUAGCCAGCUGGUUGUUCUGGUGAUUCUGGUAGGUGGUUCACGCAAGUCUGGCAGGUGGUUCAAGCAUGUUCAGCAGCUGUUCUAGCAUAUUGGUCACCUGGUUCUGCUGCUCCAGGCAUGUGGUUCCGGAAUGUCCAUAAAUUGGUUCAGGCUGGUCCAGCAGGUGGUUCAGGCUAGUCCGAAAGAGGCUCCAUGCUUGCCUGGCACCUGGUUCCAGCCUGUGCUGUUCCUGUUUCUGGAGUAUCCAGCAGAUGCUUCCGGCCUGUCCAGGAGGUGCUUCCGACGUGUUCGGCAGAUGGUUUCAGUGUAUCCAACAGGUGAUUUGGAUGUGUCCAGCAGGUGUUUCCGGAGUGUCUGGGACUUGGGUCUGGCAUAUUCGGCAGGUGGUUUCAGUGUAUCCAGCAGGUGGUUCUGGCAUAUCCAACAUGUGGUUCCAGUGUGUCUGGCAGAUGGUUCAUGCGUGUCUGGCAUGUGAUUCUGGUACGUUCAGAAGGUGGUUCUGGCCUGUCCAUUUGGUGCUUUCGGUGUGUCUUAGUGGUGGUUCUAGAGUGUCCAGUGGAUGGUUUCAGCAUGUCUGGUGGGUUGUUCUGGCGUAUAAGUGGCCUGGUUCCAGCAAGUCUAGCUGGUGGUUCUGGGAUGUCCUGCAGGUGGUUCAGUCUUGUCUGGCAGGUGGUUCAGUUUUGUCUGGCAGGUGGUUCCAGCAUGUCUGGCCAGUGGUACCAGCGUGUCAUUCAGGUGGUUCCAGCAUGUCAGGCAGGGAUUUCCUGUGUGUCUGGCAUGAGUUUCUGGUAUGUCCGGAAGGUGGUUCCCACGUGUCCAGUGGGUGCUUCUGGCAUGUCCGGCAGUUGGUUCUGCAUGUCCAGUGGGUGAUUCGGCAUGUCUGGGACCUGAUUCCAUCAUCUUGAGUUGGUGGUUUCGGCAUUUCCAGGUGGUGGUUCCAGCAUGUCCUGCAGGUAUUUCCGGCCUGUCCAGAAGAUAGUUCUGGCAUAUUCUGGACCUGCUUACCGCAUGUCCAGCGGGUGGUUCACGCAAGUCUGGCAGGUUGUUCAGGUGUGUCCAUCUGGUGGUUCUGGCUCGUCUGGCACCUGGGUCCAGCAUAUCUAACUGGUAGUGCUUGCAUGUCCAGCGAGUGAUUCUGGCAUGUCCAGCAGCUGGCUGCAGCAUGUGCAGGACCUGAUUCCGCCAUGUCAGGUUGGUGGUUUCGGCAUGUCUGGGUGGUGGUUCUGGCAUGUCUGGCAGGUUUUUCUGGGCUGUCUGGAAGUUGUUUCUGGUGUAUCCAGGCACCUGAUUCUGGCGUAUCUGGCAGGUGAUUUUGGUGUGUCAGGCAGGUUGUUCUGGUGUGUCUGGCAGGUGGUUCCGGCUUUUCUGGCAGGUCAUUCUGGCAUCUCUGGCACCUGGUUCUGCGUAUCCAGCAGGUGGUUUCAUGGUAUCUGGCACCUUGUUCCCCCGUAUCCAACAUGUGCUUCCGGCACGUCUGGCAGGUGAUUCCGGGGUGUCAGGCAGGUGGUUCUGGUGUGUCUGGCCGGUGGUUCAGCCAUGUUUGGCAGGUGGAUCAGUGCAGUCCAGCUGACACAUCAGUUAUCUCUGGCGGUUGGUUGCAGAAUAUCCGGGGGUGUUUCUGGCCUGUACAGAAGGUGGUCCCAUCAUGUUGGGCAGGUGAUUCUUGCGUGUCCGUCACAUGGAUCUGGCCUGUCCGGAAGGUGGUUCUUUUGUGUCCAUAAAGUCAUUCAGGCUGGUCCAUAAGGUGAUUCUGGUUUCUCUGGUAGGUGGUUCUGGUGUGUCUGGCACCUGGUUCUGGUGUAUCUGCCAGGUGGUUCCAUGGUGUAUGACACCUGUUUCAGUCGUAUCUGACAGGUGGAUCUGGCGUUUCUGGCAUGUGGAUCCGGGGUGUCAGGCAGGAGGUUCCAGUGUGUCCAGCUGGUGGUUCAGCCAUGUUUGGCGGGUGGAUCAGUGCAGUCCAGCAGGUGGAUCAGUCGUGUCUGGUGGUUGGUUGCAGCAUAUCUAGGGUGGUUCCAGCGUGUACAGAAGGUGGUUCCAUAGUGUCUGGCUGGUGGUUCUGGCAUGUCAGUCAAGUGGUUCUGGGGUGUCCGGAAGGUGGUUCCAUCGUGUCUGGCGGGUGAUUCUGCUAGCUCACACAGGUGGUUCCAGUGUGUCCAGCAGGUGCUUCCAGCGUUUCUAGGACCUGAUUCUGGCUUCUCCAGCAGCUGGUUCCAGAGUGUCUGGGUGGUAGUUCCAACAUGUCUGGCAGUUGGUUCCAGCAUGUCAGGCAAGUGGUUCAGGCGUUUCUGGUGGAUGGUUCUGGUGUGUCCAGUGGGUAGUUCCGGCGUGUCCGGCAUGUUGUUCAGGCAUGUCUGUCAGUUGGUCCAACUGCAUCCGGCAUAUGGUCCAGGCAUGGCACUUCUUUGGUCCAGAUAUUUCUGAAGCAUGAUUCUGACAUGUCUGAAAGGUGAUUUGGGUGUGUCUGGCAGCUGAUUCAGGCCUCUCUGGGCAGGGUUUGGGGGUGUCCGGCAGGUGGUACAGGUUGGUCUGGCAAGUGGUUCCAGUGUGUCCGGUGUGUCCUUCCAGUAUGUCUGGCCUGUGGUUCCAGCAUGUCCAGCAGGCAAUUCUGGUGUGUCCAGCACCUGGCUCUGGCAUGUUCAGCAGGUGAUUCUGGCAUGUCCAACAGAUGGCUCUGGUGAAUCCUGAAUGUGGUCACAGUGUGUCCAGCCAGUGGUUCAGUCGUGCCCAGCAGGUGGUUCAGGUUGGUCAGGCAGGUGGUUCAGUUGUGUUCAGCACCUGGUUCCAGCAUGUCCGAUACUGUUUUUGGUGUAUCAGGCAGGUGGUUCCAUCAUGUCCAGUAGAUGGUUCAUGCAAGUCUGGCAGGUGGCUCAGGCAUGUCCAGCAGGUGGUUCUGGCGUGUUGGGCACCUGGUUCCAGUGUGCCUGGCAUGUGGUUCCGGAAUGUCUGUAAAGUGGUUCAGGCUGGUCCAGCAGGUGGUUCAAGCUAGUCCGGCAGCUGCUUCAGGCUUGACUGGCACCUGGUUCCAGCCUGUGCUGGACGCAUUUCUGGUGUAUCUGGCAGAUGCUUCUGGCAUGUCCGGGAAUGGUUCCGGCAUGUCCAAGACAUGGUUUUGGCAUAUCUGACAGGUGAUUUGAAUGUGUCUGGCAGGUGUUUCCCCCGUGUCUGACACAUGGUUCUGGCACAUUCGGCAGGUUUGUUCAGUGUAUCUGGCAGCUGGUUCCAGCAUAUCCAACAAGUGGUUCCAGCAUGUCUGGUAGGUGGUUCCUGUGUGUCUGGCAUGUGGUUCUGGUACAUUUGGAAGGUGGUUCUAGUGUGUUUGGUGGGUGCUUCCAGUGUGUCCAGCAUUUGGUUCUGGCGUGUCUGAGUGGUGCUUCCAGAGCGUCCGGUGGCUGGUACUGGCAUGUCUGGUGGGUUGUUUAGGCAGAUAAGUGGCCUGGUUCCAGCAUAUCUGGCAGGUGAUGUCGGCGUAUCUGGCAGGUGGUUCAGCUUUGUCUGUCAGGUGGUUCCGGGAUGUCUUGCCAGUGGAACCACGUGUCAUUCAGGUAGUUCCAGUGUGUCUGGCAUGAGUCUCUGGUAUGUCUGCAAGGUGGCUCUGACGUGUCUGUUGGGUGCUUCCAGGGUGUCAGGCAGUUGGUUCCCACAUGUCCAGCGGGUCAUUAUGGUGUGUCCAGCAGUGGCUACGGUUUGUCCGGGAUCUGAUUCGGUCAUGUCAGGUUGGUCGUUUUGGCGUGUCCAGGUGGUGGUUCUGGCAUGUCUGGAAGGUUUUUCCAACCUGUCUGGAAAUUGGUUCUGGCAUAUCUGGGACCUGGUUCUGGCGUAUCUGGCAGGUGAUUUCAGCAUGUCCAGCAUGUGGUUCCAGCCUGUCUGGCAGGUGUUUCUGGCGUCUCCUGAAGGUGGUUCUAGUGUGUCCGAGACCUGGUUCUGGCAUAUCCAGCAGGUGAUUUCACUGUGUCCGGCAACUGGUUCUGCUGUAUACGACAGGUGCUUUAGCUUGUCUGGCAGGUGGUUUUGGAAUGUCAGGCAGGGGGUUCCUGUGUUUCUUGCAUGAGUUUCUGGUAUGUCCAUAAGGUUGUUCUGGCGUGUCAUCUGGGUGCUUCUGGCAUGUCUGGCAGUUGGUUCUCACAUUUCCAGCGGGUGAGUCUGGCAUGUCUGGCAGGUGGCUAUGGCAUGUCCGGGACCUGAUUCCAUUGUGUCAGGUUGGUGGUUUCAGCCUGUACGGGAGGGUGUUCUGGUGUGUCUGGCAUGUUUUUCCAGCCUGCCCAGAAGUUGGUUCUGGCAUAUCCAGGACCUGAUUCUGGUGUAUCUGGCAGGUCAUUUUGGUGUGUCCGGCAUGUUGUUCCAGUGUGCCUGGCAGCUGAUUCUGGCUUUUCUGGCAGGUGGUUCUGGGGUGUCCAGCACCUGGUUCUGUGUAUCCUGCAGGUGCUUUCACGGUAUCUGGCACCUGGUUCUCCUGUAUCUGACAGCUGGUUUGGGCAUGUCUGGCAGGUGAUUCCAGCGUGUCAGGCAGUUGGUUCUGGUGUGUCUGGCUGGUGGUUCAGCCAUGUUUGGCAGGUGGAUCAGUGCAGUCCAGCAGGUGGAACAGUCUUCUACGGUGGUUGGUUGCAGGAUAUCCAGGGGUCGUUCCAGCCUGUCCAGAUGCUGUUUCUGUCAUGUCCAACUGGUGAUUCCCUCGUGUCUGUCACAUGGCUCCUGCAUGUCUGGAAGGUGGUUCUGUCAUGUCCAUAAAGUGGUUCAGGCUGGCCCAGAAGCUGGUCAGUUCUGACUUCUGUUGCAGGUGGUUCUGGCAUGUCUGACACCUGGUUUUGGCAUAUCUGCUGGGUGGUUUCACGGUGUCUGGCACCUGGUUCAACCGUAUCCGACAGCUGGUUCUGGCAUUUCUGCAGGUGGAUCUGGGGUGUCAGGCAGGUGGUUCUGGCAUGUCUGGGCAGUGGUUCAGCCGAGUUUGGAGAGUGGACCAGUGCUAUCCUGCUGGUGGAUCAGUCAUGUCUGGUGGUUGGUUGCAGCAUAUCUGGGGUGGUUCCAUUUUGUCUGGCAGGUGGUUCCAGCAUGUCAGUCAGGUGGUUCCAGUGUGUGCAGCAGGUGGUUCACGCAAGUCUGGCAGGUGGUUCAGGCCUGUCUGGAGGUGG
rnacentral:lncRNA from 1 species